rnacentral:rRNA from 1 species
GAACAGGACGUCAUAGAGGGUGAGAAUCCCGUAUGUGACUGGUUGCCACGCCCGUGUGAAGCUCCUUCGACGAGUCGAGUUGUUUGGGAAUGCAGCUCAAAAUGGGUGGUAAAUUUCAUCUAAAGCUAAAUAUUGGCCAGAGACCGAUAGCGCACAAGUAGAGUGAUCGAAAGAUGAAAAGCACUUUGGAAAGAGAGUCAAACAGUACGUGAAAUUGUUGAAAGGGAAGCGCUUGCAACCAGACUUGCCCGCGGGUGAUCAGCCGGUAUUCUUACCGGUGCACUCGCCCGUGGUCAGGCCAGCAUCGGUUUGGGCGGCUGGAUAAAGGCCACUGGAAUGUAGCUCCUCUCGGGGAGUGUUAUAGCCAGAGGUGCCAUGCAGCCCGCCCGGACCGAGGACCGCGCUUCGGCUAGGAUGCUGGCGUAAUGGUUGUAAGCGACCCGUCUUGAAACACGGACCAAGGAGUCUAACAUCUAUGCGAGUGUUUGGGUGUCAAACCCAUGCGCGUAAUGAAAGUGAACGGAGGUGGGAACCCUCAAGGGUGCACCAUCGACCGAUCCUGAUGUCUUCGGAUGGAUUUGAGUAAGAGCAUAGCUGUUGGGACCCGAAAGAUGGUGAACUAUGCCUGAAUAGGGUGAAGCCAGAGGAAACUCUGGUGGAGGCUCGCAGCGGUUCUGACGUGCAAAUCGAUCGUCAAAUUUGGG